CUUAUCUCAGUCUGAGAAUUAGAAGAGGAUGGGAAUGAAAUGAUGUUUUUCGGGUAUAAUUAGACACAUUACGCGAGAAAAACACUAAUUCCAGCCGAUACAAACACUAUUUAGAAAAUGAAACGAUGAUAUAGAAAAUAGGUGGAAAAAUCGAAAUCUCAUUUAUAUAUCCUUAUCUCAGUCUGAGAAUUAGAAGAGGAUGGGAAUGAAAUGAUGUUUUUCGGGUAUAAUUAGACACAUUACGCGAGAAAAACACUAAUUCCAGCCGAUACAAACACUAUUUAGAAAAUGAAACGAUGAUAUAGAAAAUAGGUGGAAAAAUCGAAAUCUCAUUUAUAUAUCCUUAUCUCAGUCUGAGAAUUAGAAGAAGAUGGGAAUGAAAUGAUGUUUUUCGGGUAUAAUUAGACACAUUACGCGAGAAAAACACUAAUUCCAGCCGAUCCAAACACUAUUUAGAAAAUGAAACGAUGAUAUAGAAAAUAGGUGGAAAAAUCGAAAUCUCAUUUAUAUAUCCUUAUCUCAGUCUGAGAAUUAGAAGAAGAUGGGAAUGAAAUGAUGUUUUUAGGGUAUAAUUAGACAUAUUACGAGAGAAAAACACUAAAUCCAGCCGAUACAAACACUAUUUAGAAAAUGAAACGAUGAUAUAGAAAAUAGGUGGAAAAAUCGAAAUCUCAUUUAUAUAUCCUUAUCUCAGUCUGAGAAUUAGAAGAGGAUGGGAAUGAAAUGAUGUUUUUCGGGUAUAAUUAGAUACAUUACGCGAGAAAAACACUAAUUCCAGCCGAUACAAACACUAUUUAGAAAAUGAAACGAUGAUAUAGAAAAUAGGUGGAAAAAUCGAAAUCUCAUUUAUAUAUCCUUAUCUCAGUCUGAGAAUUAGAAGAGGAUGGGAAUGAAAUGAUGUUUUUCGGGUAUAAUUAGAUACAUUACGCGAGAAAAACACUAAUUCCAGCCGAUACAAACACUAUUUAGAAAAUGAAACGAUGAUAUAGAAAAUAGGUGGAAAAAUCGAAAUCUCAUUUAUAUAUCCUUAUCUCAGUCUGAGAAUUAGAAGAGGAUGGGAAUGAAAUGAUGUUUUUCGGGUAUAAUUAGACACAUUACGCGAGAAAAACACUAAUUCCAGCCGAUCCAAACACUAUUUAGAAAAUGAAACGAUGAUAUAGAAAAUAGGUGGAAAAAUCGAAAUCUCAUUUAUAUAUCCUUAUCUCAGUCUGAGAAUUAGAAGAGGAUGGGAAUGAAAUGAUGUUUUUCGGGUAUAAUUAGAUACAUUACGCGAGAAAAACACUAAUUCCAGCCGAUACAAACACUAUUUAGAAAAUGAAACGAUGAUAUAGAAAAUAGGUGGAAAAAUCGAAAUCUCAUUUAUAUAUCCUUAUCUCAGUCUGAGAAUUAGAAGAGGAUGGGAAUGAAAUGAUGUUUUUCGGGUAUAAUUGGACACAUUACGCGAGAAAAACACUAAUUCCAGCCGAUCCAAACACUAUUUAGAAAAUGAAACGAUGAUAUAGAAAAUAGGUGGAAAAAUCGAAAUCUCAUUUAUAUAUCCUUAUCUCAGUCUGAGAAUUAGAAGAAGAUGGGAAUGAAAUGAUGUUUUUAGGGUAUAAUUAGACAUAUUACGAGAGAAAAACACUAAUUCCAGCCGAUCCAAACACUAUUUAGAAAAUGAAACGAUGAUAUAGAAAAUAGGUGGAAAAAUCGAAAUCUCAUUUAUAUAUCCUUAUCUCAGUCUGAGAAUUAGAAGAGGAUGGGAAUGAAAUGAUGUUUUUCGGGUAUAAUUAGAUACAUUACGCGAGAAAAACACUAAUUCCAGCCGAUACAAACACUAUUUAGAAAAUGAAACGAUGAUAUAGAAAAUAGGUGGAAAAAUCGAAAUCUCAUUUAUAUAUCCUUAUCUCAGUCUGAGAAUUAGAAGAGGAUGGGAAUGAAAUGAUGUUUUUCGGGUAUAAUUAGAUACAUUACGCGAGAAAAACACUAAUUCCAGCCGAUACAAACACUAUUUAGAAAAUGAAACGAUGAUAUAGAAAAUAGGUGGAAAAAUCGAAAUCUCAUUUAUAUAUCCUUAUCUCAGUCUGAGAAUUAGAAGAGGAUGGGAAUGAAAUGAUGUUUUUCGGGUAUAAUUAGAUACAUUACGCGAGAAAAACACUAAUUCCAGCCGAUACAAACACUAUUUAGAAAAUGAAACGAUGAUAUAGAAAAUAGGUGGAAAAAUCGAAAUCUCAUUUAUAUAUCCUUAUCUCAGUCUGAGAAUUAGAAGAGGAUGGGAAUGAAAUGAUGUUUUUCGGGUAUAAUUAGACACAUUACGCGAGAAAAACACUAAUUCCAGCCGAUCCAAACACUAUUUAGAAAAUGAAACGAUGAUAUAGAAAAUAGGUGGAAAAAUCGAAAUCUCAUUUAUAUAUCCUUAUCUCAGUCUGAGAAUUAGAAGAAGAUGGGAAUGAAAUGAUGUUUUUAGGGUAUAAUUAGACAUAUUACGAGAGAAAAACACUAAAUCCAGCCGAUACAAACACUAUUUAGAAAAUGAAACGAUGAUAUAGAAAAUAGGUGGAAAAAUCGAAAUCUCAUUUAUAUAUCCUUAUCUCAGUCUGAGAAUUAGAAGAAGAUGGGAAUGAAAUGAUGUUUUUCGGGUAUAAUUAGACACAUUACGCGAGAAAAACACUAAUUCCAGCCGAUACAAACACUAUUUAGAAAAUGAAACGAUGAUAUAGAAAAUAGGUGGAAAAAUCGAAAUCUCAUUUAUAUAUCCUUAUCUCAGUCUGAGAAUUAGAAGAGGAUGGGAAUGAAAUGAUGUUUUUCGGAUAUAAUUAGACACAUUACGCGAGAAAAACACUAAUUCCAGACGAUAGAAACACUACUUAGAAAAUGAAACGAUGAUAUAGAAAAUAGGUGGAAAAAUCGAAAUCUCAUUUAUAUAUCCUUAUCUCAGUCUGAGAAUUAGAAGAAGAUGGGAAUGAAAUGAUGUUUUUAGGGUAUAAUUAGACAUAUUACGAGAGAAAAACACUAAUUCCAGCCGAUCCAAACACUAUUUAGAAAAUGAAACGAUGAUAUAGAAAAUAGGUGGAAAAAUCGAAAUCUCAUUUAUAUAUCCUUAUCUCAGUCUGAGAAUUAGAAGAGGAUGGGAAUGAAAUGAUGUUUUUCGGGUAUAAUUAGAUACAUUACGCGAGAAAAACACUAAUUCCAGCCGAUACAAACACUAUUUAGAAAAUGAAACGAUGAUAUAGAAAAUAGGUGGAAAAAUCGAAAUCUCAUUUAUAUAUCCUUAUCUCAGUCUGAGAAUUAGAAGAGGAUGGGAAUGAAAUGAUGUUUUUCGGGUAUAAUUAGAUACAUUACGCGAGAAAAACACUAAUUCCAGCCGAUACAAACACUAUUUAGAAAAUGAAACGAUGAUAUAGAAAAUAGGUGGAAAAAUCGAAAUCUCAUUUAUAUAUCCUUAUCUCAGUCUGAGAAUUAGAAGAGGAUGGGAAUGAAAUGAUGUUUUUCGGGUAUAAUUAGAUACAUUACGCGAGAAAAACACUAAUUCCAGCCGAUACAAACACUAUUUAGAAAAUGAAACGAUGAUAUAGAAAAUAGGUGGAAAAAUCGAAAUCUCAUUUAUAUAUCCUUAUCUCAGUCUGAGAAUUAGAAGAGGAUGGGAAUGAAAUGAUGUUUUUCGGGUAUAAUUAGAUACAUUACGCGAGAAAAACACUAAUUCCAGCCGAUACAAACACUAUUUAGAAAAUGAAACGAUGAUAUAGAAAAUAGGUGGAAAAAUCGAAAUCUCAUUUAUAUAUCCUUAUCUCAGUCUGAGAAUUAGAAGAGGAUGGGAAUGAAAUGAUGUUUUUCGGGUAUAAUUAGACACAUUACGCGAGAAAAACACUAAUUCCAGCCGAUCCAAACACUAUUUAGAAAAUGAAACGAUGAUAUAGAAAAUAGGUGGAAAAAUCGAAAUCUCAUUUAUAUAUCCUUAUCUCAGUCUGAGAAUUAGAAGAAGAUGGGAAUGAAAUGAUGUUUUUCGGGUAUAAUUAGACACAUUACGCAAGAAAAACACUAAUUCCAGCCGAUACAAACACUAUUUAGAAAAUGAAACGAUGAUAUAGAAAAUAGGUGGAAAAAUCGAAAUCUCAUUUAUAUAUCCUUAUCUCAGUCUGAGAAUUAGAAGAGGAUGGGAAUGAAAUGAUGUUUUUCGGGUAUAAUUAGAUACAUUACGCGAGAAAAACACUAAUUCCAGCCGAUACAAACACUAUUUAGAAAAUGAAACGAUGAUAUAGAAAAUAGGUGGAAAAAUCGAAAUCUCAUUUAUAUAUCCUUAUCUCAGUCUGAGAAUUAGAAGAGGAUGGGAAUGAAAUGAUGUUUUUCGGGUAUAAUUAGACACAUUACGCGAGAAAAACACUAAUUCCAGCCGAUCCAAACACUAUUUAGAAAAUGAAACGAUGAUAUAGAAAAUAGGUGGAAAAAUCGAAAUCUCAUUUAUAUAUCCUUAUCUCAGUCUGAGAAUUAGAAGAAGAUGGGAAUGAAAUGAUGUUUUUAGGGUAUAAUUAGACAUAUUACGAGAGAAAAACACUAAUUCCAGCCGAUCCAAACACUAUUUAGAAAAUGAAACGAUGAUAUAGAAAAUAGGUGGAAAAAUCGAAAUCUCAUUUAUAUAUCCUUAUCUCAGUCUGAGAAUUAGAAGAGGAUGGGAAUGAAAUGAUGUUUUUCGGGUAUAAUUAGAUACAUUACGCGAGAAAAACACUAAUUCCAGCCGAUACAAACACUAUUUAGAAAAUGAAACGAUGAUAUAGAAAAUAGGUGGAAAAAUCGAAAUCUCAUUUAUAUAUCCUUAUCUCAGUCUGAGAAUUAGAAGAGGAUGGGAAUGAAAUGAUGUUUUUAGGGUAUAAUUAGACACAUUACGCGAGAAAAACACUAAUUCCAGCCGAUCCAAACACUAUUUAGAAAAUGAAACGAUGAUAUAGAAAAUAGGUGGAAAAAUCGAAAUCUCAUUUAUAUAUCCUUAUCUCAGUCUGAGAAUUAGAAGAUGAUGGGAAUAAAAUGAUGUUUUUCGGGUAUAAUUAGACACAUUACGCGAGAAAAACACUAAUUCCAGACGAUACAAACACUGUUUAGAAAAUG